CGAAAAUACGCAUCCAUAUGAGUAUGGCGGAAGGAUUUUUAUGCUGCCAGCUAGCGUUACCGUUUGGGGAGUAACGGUGUUAAGAAUACAGUGAAGAGAACUCCCAGAGGGCCUAGAGCAGCUGACAUACUUGAAGGUGUUUCCCAAGAUCUGCACUCAGGAUUAUGAGAGCAAGGCGAGAUCACUCCCCGCUUGCCAUCAACAGCUUCU